AAGAUUUUUUUUUUUGGCCUCUUGGAUCUCUAAAGAGCAUGAGGUCUGUCUCAUAGGCAAGGAUCUGCUGGCAGUUGGCUACUGAUAGUUUGGGCUGCUAUAGAAAACUGAAGGAGAGAGUGGUAGCUGUCUAUUAUUUUAGGGAGUUAGGGAGUUAGUGAAUCAUUUAUAGAUAGUGUAGGUUAGAUAGGCCUGUGUUUGCCAGGCAAGAAGAAGCUAUCCUCAGACGACAGAGAUCUUUUACAAGAGGCUCUGCAGCAUUCCAGAAAUUUAAAUAGCUAGUACAACAUAUGCAUAAACAGGAGCAUCUGGAAUACCAUAUCAUAUACAAAGAAUAAAACGAUCAUACUUCAUCUUGAACACUACAUUGAAUCUCUUCUAAAGAAACUCAUCAUUGGGGAAUCUCAUUAUACUGCAAGAUUGAUCUCAUCAGUACCCUCAGGGAUUUUGACUGAACCCUUUAAUUGGAGGGCAGAGAUAUUGGAUCCAGGAUUUUAUAUAAAGAAGGAUGCUACACAGUUUUAAUUCCCAUUUCCUACCAACUUCACUGUUUCUGUACUUCAUUGAAAUCUCCUUCAUUACAACACACUAGGAUCAUCUAUUCCUUUUCUGCCUCACUUUAAAACUUCUUUUUGUAAAUUGUCUUCCCAUUAGAGUGUAAAUUACUUGAGGGAAUGGAUUGUUUUUAUUUGUAUUUGUAUCCCAGUAUUUAGCAUUGUGCCUGACAUGUAGAAGUCAUUUAAUAAAUGAUUAUUUACCUAUUGACUAAAGUAAUAA
rnacentral:lncRNA from 1 species